AGAGUGAACGCUGGCGGUAGGCCUAACACAUGCAAGUCGAACGGCAGCACAGUAGGAGCUUGCUCUUACGGGUGGCGAGUGGCGGACGGGUGAGGAAUACAUCGGAAUCUACCUUUUGGUGGGGGGAUAACGUAGGGAAACUUACGCUAAUACCGCAUACGCCCUUCGGGGGAAAGCCGGGGACCAGCAAUGGCCUGGCGCUGAUAGAUGAGCCGAUGUCGGAUUAGCUAGUUGGUGAGGUAAUGGCUCACCAAGGCGACGAUCCGUAGCUGGUCUGAGAGGAUGAUCAGCCACACUGGAACUGAGACACGGUCCAGACUCCUACGGGAGGCAGCAGGUGGGGAAUAUUGGACAAGUGGGCGCAAGCCUGAUCCAGCCAAUACCCGGCGUGGGUGAAGGAA
rnacentral:rRNA from 1 species